UACGUAGGGUGCAGGCGUUAAUCGGAAUUACUGGGCGUAAAGCGUGCGCAGGCGGUUUGCCAAGACAGGUGUGAAAUCCCCGGGCUUAACCUGGGAACUGCGCUUGUAACUGGCAAGCUUGAGUGUGGCAGAGGGGGGUGGAAUUCCACGUGUAGCAGUGAAAUGCGUAGAGAUGUGGAGGAACACCGAUGGCGAAGGCAGCCCCCUGGGCUAACACUGACGCUCAUGCACGAAAGCGUGGGGAGCAAACAGG
rnacentral:rRNA from 1 species